rnacentral:rRNA from 1 species
UGGGGGUAGAGCACUGAAUGAGCUAGGGGCCAAACAAAGGUUACCAAACUUUAUCAAACUGCGAAUACCAUAAGGGAAGUUCAGGAGUCAGACUACGGGAGCUAAGUUCCGUGGUCAAAAGGGAAAGAGCCCAGACCGUCAAUUAAGGUCCCUAAGAUAUAACUAAGUGGAAAACGAUGUGAUUUUGCGCAGACAACCAGGAUGUUGGCUUAGAAGCAGCCAUUCAUUUAAAGAGUGCGUAAUAGCUCACUGGUCGAGUGAAGUUGCGCGGAAAAUUACCGGGGCUAAGUUAUACACCGAAAUUGCGGAUUCAUUAAGAAAUUAAUGAGUGGUAGAGGAGCGUUCUAUACAGGAUGAAGUAUGAUCGAGAGGACAUAUGGACAGUAUAGAAGAGAGAAUGCCGGAAUGAGUAGCGAGAGCAAAGUGAGAAUCUUUGCCGUCGAAAAUCUAAGGUUUCCUGGGGAAGGUUCGUCCGCCCAGGGUAAGUCGGGACCUAAGGUGAGGCCGAAGGGCGUAGCCGAUGGAUAGCAGGUUAAGAUUCCUGCACCAGUAUACAUGUAUAAUGCAUAAGAGGACACAUUUGAAGAAGAUGAGCGAGGAAGAGGAAAAACUCGUAUGGCAACAUAUAGUGAAAUAAAGUAACGAAUCAUCAAGAGGCAAGUGGCGAGAAAAGUCUUAUGUAGUUGUGUAGACUGCCCGUACCGCAAACCGACACAGGUAGAUGAGGAGAGGAUCCUAAGACGAGCGGGAGAAGCAUUGUUAAGGAACUCGGCAAAUUGACCCCGUAACUUAGGGAUAAGGGGUGCUGGUGUAAAAACCAGUCGCAGUAAAUAGGCCCAAGCAACUGUUUAACAAAAACACAGGUUUCUGCUAAAUCGCAAGAUGAAGUAUAGGAGCUGACUCCUGCCCAGUGCUGGAAGGUUAAGGGGAAAGGUUAGGAAUAAUUCAUUAUAUCCGAAGCUUUGAACUCAAGCCCCAGUGAACGGCGGCCGUAACUAUAACGGUCCUAAGGUAGCGAAAUUCCUUGUCAGGUAAGUUCUGACCCGCACGAAAGGAGUAAUGAUUUGGGCACUGUCUCAACAAUGUACCCGGCGAAAUUGUAGUACUAGUGAAGAUGCUAGUUACCUGCGACAAGACGGAAAGACCCCAUGGAGCUUUACUAUAGCCUGAUAUUGGGCUUUGGUAUCUUAUGUACAGGAUAGGUGGGAGACUAUGAGAUUAAGACGCAAGUCUUAAAGGAGUCAACCUUGGAAUACCACCCUUAAGAUAUUAGAGUUCUAACUUGUGAUCAUAAACUGGUCAGAGGACAUUGUCAGGUGGGUAGUUUGACUGGGGCGGUCACCUCCUAAAGAGUAACGGAGGUGCGCAAAGGUUUCCUCGGCACGGUCAGAAAUCGUGCUAAUGAGUGUAAAGGCAUAAGGAAGCUUAACUGAGAGAGAGACAUCUCGAGCAGAUACGAAAGUAGGUCUUAGUGAUCCGGUGGUAGAAAAUGGAAUUGCCAUCGCUCAACGGAUAAAAGUUACCCUGGGGAUAACAGGCUUAUCUCCCCCAAGAGUUCACAUCGACGGGGAGGUUUGGCACCUCGAUGUCGGCUCAUCGCAUCCUGGAGCGGA